AAGACCAGACUAUUUUAUUUUUACUUUUUUUUUAUCUUCAACAUUCUAAAACAUAUAUUUGUUGCAGAGAUGAGGUUCAAUUCAGCAAAGGUGGAAGAGAGGAAGAGGGAGGACCAACUGAAAUCACCUGCUACUGCUCCCAUGCCAAAAAGAGUUAAAAGUGUGGAACCUCUUUCUGCCCCGACACCAUCCCGAUCAUCCUUAGCAACUCCAUCUC
rnacentral:lncRNA from 1 species